rnacentral:rRNA from 1 species
CAGUAGCCACGGUAAUACGUAGGGUGCAAGCGUUAAUCGGAAUUACUGGGCGUAAAGCGUGCGCAGGCGGUUAUAUAAGACAGAUGUGAAAUCCCCGGGCUCAACUUGGGAACUGCAUUUGUGACUGUAUAGCUAGAGUACGGCAGAGGGGGAUGGAAUUCCGCGUGUAGCAGUGAAAUGCGUAGAUAUGCGGAGGAACACCGAUGGCGAAGGCAAUCCCCUGGGCCUGUACUGACGCUCAUGCACGAAAGCGUGGGGAGCAAACAGGAUUAGAUACCCCUGUAGUCCCUGUCUCUUAUAA